rnacentral:lncRNA from 1 species
GGAGAACCCAUAUGCCUGGAAAAGUAAGACUAGGAGGUGAAUCAGGGCUCGCUGAGAGCAGCCGCAGAAGUCUGCAGAGUUCCUCUCAGCGCGGAGCUGGAGCCGGAGCCGUGAAGGGAAUCACUGUGAAAAAGUUAGAGAACACAGCUGUGAAACCAGAGGCUCCAGAAAACUGAAAAAAGAACGAACCUUUUACUGACCGAAAGAAGCAAAUGCCCAAGAGAGAAGAAAGCGGAGAAGUAAGGGAUUCAGAAUGUGGCUGCUAAAAUGUGGAAAAUGAAAAUGAACGGCCCACAAAUUUCUGAAAUGAAGUUAAAGGAAGAUCAUGCUAUGAAAAAGCGUGGGAAAGGCACACAUUUCAAGUCAGGUACAAAGGAUCGAACUCAGGACCUCACACUUACCACUUAUGAGUCAGGUGCAGUGCCACAGAGCUGAAGCCCCAGCCCUAUUAUACUGUACUCUUAAGGAAAUAGUGAAAAGAAAAAUCUAUAAAUGUUCAGUACAGAUGAAAUUUUUUCCAAAUAUUUUUCAUAAAUGGUUGCUUGAAACUGCUGAUGUGGAACCCAUGCAUACAGAGGCCAACUGUAUUAGAAAAGGAGAAAAAUAGAAAAUUAAUGAGCUAGGCAUCCAGUUUACGAAGUCAGAAAAGGAACAGUAGAAUAAAUCUAUAAAAGAACUAAAAUUAAGAGCAGAAAGCUAUUUUUUAAAAAAACACAUUUAAAUAUCCAGUAGAAAGGAUCAACAGAGCCAAAAGUUGAUUAAAAAGAAAAAAAAAAACCUAUGGUCAAAAUUGAGAGAACAGAGAUUUAAAAAUUCCUAAGACAGCACUACAAAAAUAGUUAUGCUGCUCUGUCUAAAUCUAAGAAUAUAUAUGUGCAUAUGCAUAUAAUGCCUGUCCUAUACACGCCCACAUAUUUAUUAUCUACAAAAUCUCCC